GCUGCCCUAAAAAGCAAAACAAACGAACAAAAACAAAUAGAGUAAAACUUGACCCCAAACCCACACCUGUAUUCGAGUGUGCAUUUCUCUAUAAAGAUUCAUGAGCAUGAAGAAGGUGGUGAAGGCUUCCCAUCAGAGUUGCCUGUGUAAGGCGGCAGGUGAAGGAAGAGAAGAAGGAAAAAAAAUUUUUGAUGCAACUGAAAAUAUCUACAAUACUCAAUCUUCAGCCUGCCUCCUCGGAUCCCGUUUAUGGAGGAGGAUAUCUGAAUGUGCGCGUCUGCCUCCACAGCAUAAGAAAAUCAGAAUACUGACUUGCAGACAUGCCCACUGUAAAGUGGGGUAGAAAGGAAGUUGUAUGGAUAUGGCGAUUCACUGUUUUUCAGACAAACAAGCAAACCUCUCUAAGUGUAUAUACAUGUCUUUCUCUGUUGGUGUGAGCGAGGAGAAAGGCGUGGAAGACAGGUGUCUGCACCUGUCGUAAAGCCGGGCCACCGGAGGUAAAGUCGGGGAGGUGGUGUAAAGCCAGCGCUCCUGAAAUAAAGUUGGGCACGUGAGGCAAAAAGCCAGGGCACGUGAUGUAAAGCAGGGCACUUAACGUAAAGCGGGGGCACGUGAGGUAAAGUCUGGCUCUAUGACGUAAAACCGAGACACCUGACGUAAAGCCGUAAAGCCAGGAUAUCCGAGAGCCAGAUUUCACACUGAGCAGCUGCAGACGGAGAAAUCAGAGAAAGCACAACCCAGCCUCAGAUUCCGAGGGGCCUGCUUGGGACUCUCUCCUCCUGCUUGGAAGGAAGACCCUGAGGCAGCUGUCUCAGGCCAGGUCUUGGCUGCCAUGGGACUCCCAGCCACCACGCCCCAGCUGCCCUCCAUACUGCCAGGCAGAUAAGGGUGAGCCCUGCCCAGGAGCACCUGCUACCCUCUGCCAGGCCACCCUCUGUGGCCAGUCCUUCCUCAACUUUGGACCACCUUUGCUGACCUGAGGCCAUGUAGGCCCCACUUGGGCCUCUGUGGAUAGAUACGCCCCUGGGCACAGCACCUCUGCUCUCUGGGAGAUCCAGUGCACCACCAUGCCCCGGGGACUCGCUUGGCUGUGCUAUCUCGGGAUCCUCCUUGGCAUGGCCUUGGGGAACAAGGGUUUGGAGGUGUGGCCCGUGACCUCGAGCGAGGAGUGCGCCAUCACUGGCUUUCUGCGGGACAAGCUGCAGUAUAGGAACCGCCUUCAGUACAUGAAACACUACUUCCCCAUCAACUACAGGGUCAGCGUGCCUUACGAGGGGGUGCUCCGAACGGCCAACGUCACCAGGCUGCAGAGGGCCCGGGUGACCCAGCGGGAGCUGCAGUAUCUGUGGGUCUGGGUGAGUCUCAGCGCUACUGAAUCAGUGCAGGAGGUGCUGCUCGAGGGCCAUCCAUCCUGGAAGUACCUGGAGGAGGUACAUACGCUGCUGCUGGACGUCCGGCAAGGCCUCGCGGGUGUAGAGAUCAGCCCCCAGGUGGAAGCUGUGUUGUCCCUCCUGAGUGCCCCCGGGAGCCUGAAGCUGGUGCGGCCCAAAGCGCUGCUGGACAACUGCUUCCGGGUCAUGGAGCAGCUGUACUGCUCUUGCUGUAAACACAGCUCCAUCCUAAAUUGGCAGGACUGUGAGGUGCCAGGCCCUCAGCCUCACAGCCCAGAGCCUUCGUCACAGUGUGUGGCCGCCCAGCUGUACCCUCUGCCCCAGCAGCCCCCCACCUCCCUGCCCCGCUCCCCAGGACCCACGGCUGGAUCCCUGGAUCCCUGAAGCUGCUGAGGGCCCAGGGCAAAGGUGUCCUGUGCCAAGUGGCCUGUAUGGUGACUAGGGUGGGGCAGCUAGAGGAGCUCCUGCAAAGAUUGACUGGGCCUGAGCCUGCUGGGUGGUGGGGGAGAGCCCCCCUUGGGAGAGGAGACCUUGGAGGGUGUUUCUCUUUUGAGGGAGAUUUGGGGCCUGAGAAGGACUCAGCUUCUCACCUUCUGUACUUCUCAUGGUCUCACCUGGAGCACUGGAGGCUGGGGGCACCUGAAAGUGAAUGAAGACAGAGCCUACAGCCCCUCCUGGCACUGCCUGGGCUGCCCCCCUCCCUGAAGGCAGUGCUGACCGUCUCCCAGGCCUGAAGAGGCAAGAGCUGUACCAGGAAGCGACCCUGACUGAGUCUGUCCAGUAGCUGAGCAAGACCCUGGGCCUCUCCCUGGCUCGGCAAGACCUCGGGGGCCAGCCUGGCCUGGGAUUUGGGCCUGUGGCAGCUGCGUGGGCACCAGCUCUCAGGAACCAGCCAGGCAGCAGUGUCCACAAAGGACCUUCCUCAUUUCCUGCUGUGGUACCCCUGCCCCUCCCCACCCCCUUCAACCCUCACUGACCUGCACAUGCUGGACUUCCGGGAACUGGAGCUGCUGGGCGAUGACGGUGGAGUCUGGGACACUGCCCUGGCCGGGCCAUGGGAGAACCUGGUGCUUCUGAGGACUCACCGUCCUUGGCAGAGGAGCCAGGCCAGAGUGACCAUGUAGGACACCAGAGGGUUCAAAUCCUGGCUCUGCUGUGCCACUGUCAGGGCAAGCCAUGCCCUCCUCGGCCCCAUCUCCAGGCCGCACCUGUUCACUGGCGGGGGGCAGCUUGUGGGGCUCCGCGGUCAGCACCACCAGGUCGUCGAUGAUACCUUGCAGGGGACCCACCACCACAGGCUGCAGGAAGGUGAUGAAGGUGCAGAAGCGGCCGCGCUCCUCAAUCAGGGCCCGGCGCACCGCCUGCUUCUCCGUCUCCUCCAGCAGCAGGUACAUGUCAUUCACGUCCUGCAGGGCACUGUCCAGCUGGGGCUGCAGGUCUCCUUUCCCUGGGGGGGUUGGGAGGAGAGGCUGCGCUGGGGAUGCCGGCCUGACCCACUGCAUCCAUGGCUCAGGCCCGUGGUGGUGUGCCUGCCCGUGGGGCUGGGCACUGCCUUGGAGACCAGGGGGCCGGGGAGGGUCGUCGGGAUGCCGGGGCUUGUGGAAGGGCUGGUCCCCAGAGCAGGUAAAGAAGAAAGACAAGCGCACAGGAAAAAGACACUAAAGCUGCAAAGCCACCCAGGUCUGUGGUGGGCAGAGCUGUGGGCUGCCCCAGGGCUGCCCUUGGAGCAGCUAUGCUCAGGGGAGCCCAGGGGAGGCCUCCAUAAGGGCUGAGACGUCCACCUCCCAGGAUACCCUCACUGCCUGUGGGACAGGGAGGAGGAGUGGAGGCAGGACAAAGCAGAGUGUGGGGGCUCUGCUGUAAGCCAGGCCACUGGGGGGUAUGGGGGCCAGGAGGGCGAGGGGCUGGGUCCAGGGCACAGGGAAGGGGGGGUAUCUCUGUGGGCCCCUGCUCAGCUCAAGGGAUGACGCACAAGGACAGCAAGAGCGACACAAAGAAGCAGUGAGAGAGACAGAGAGAGGCAAGAAGAUGAUGUAAAGGAGAUGGCGAGACAGGAAGUGGAGGCGACAGGGAGUGAGAGAGAAGAGCACUGUGAUGGGCGCUCCGCAGAGUAGGGGGCAGGAGGCCGGGCCCCAACCCUGGCCCCACCUUUUGCGUGGUCCUUGUCCAGCUGGUUGGCCGACUUCUUCCAGUCCUCAAUACGCUCCUGCAGCGGGUUGAUGAGGCUCUCCAGCAGCGCACUGAGGGAGGGGGCGCGAGGGUCAGGGCCGCCACUGAGGUCUCCCUGCGACACCCCACCCGCCCGCGGCACCCACUCACUUGGUGAACUGCCGCAGCUUGGUCUCGAUGCUGCGGUGGCGCAUGCACAUGCGCGUGAGCGCCGAGCCGAUGUCCCGCGUGGCCCCUGGCGAGGCAAGCGCGCAGCGUGGGAAGGGGCCCGCCGGGGCUCCUGCAGUCCCGGCCGCGGGCCACAAGGGGGCGCGCCAGGCCCGCGAAGGCCGCGCCUGCAACCGGCGCCCCACCCCAGCAUUCCGCAAUCCUGCGUUCCCCCGCCCCCCCCCCCCCCCCCCCCCGGUCCCUGCCCCCGGGGGAUUUGAUCUCUCCUCAAUAUUUACCCAACCACCCCUCUGCGCGGGACCAACGUCCUGCCCAAUCUGGCCGUGCCAACCUCCUGCAGCUGCGAGUGCUCUGUGGUUAGGGCGGGAGCCGCCCUUCACCCCAGCUGGGAGAUGCCCAUACCAAAGACCAUCCAAGAAGCCAACCAAAACCCCCUCUCGCCCUACUGGGAACCCCCUCCAAUUGUGCCCAGAUGCAAGUGAGGCAUGCACCCACUGCUUCGGUUCUCACCACCCAAAAGAUCAGGGGCCCCCAGUCCGUGUCACUCGGACCAGAAGGCAAAGGAGAUGGCAAGGCCAACAGGGAGCAUUCACCUGCCCUGUGUGCGCCCGGAACAGCAGAUGGGGACGGGAGAGAUGAAGCCACAGUCAGACUCACCGUUAGGAAGGUGAACACCUGUGGCUGAGGGGUCAAGCCAGCUGCCCAGAAGUGAAAAUGGAACCCCUCCUGUAACAUUCCUGUCACCUUUCACCCAUUCCUGCUUGCAUGCCUCUAGUGAUGAGAGGCUCUCUCCACAAAAAGCCCACUUCAUUAGGGAGCAGAAUUCGAGGGCCCGACUCUGGGCCUGGGAUCCUUUCCCUGGCUCGUAUUCCACCCAGCCUUUCCAGCUUCCAAGCCCAACCUGGGGCAUCCCCAACCUCCAGCCAUGCCCCCUCCCCACCUCGGGUGUUGGUGGCCAUGUCAGCCACUUUCUGGAAGGCAUCCAAGAAGGCCACAGCAGCCAGCACAGUGGUCCUGGGGAGAUGGACAGCAGGACGGUCUGUGGGUGAGAGGUCCUCUCUUCUACCCACCCCCUCUCCAUCUGGGGCACCCUCAGCAGCCUCACCUCAGCUGGGAAUGCAGCUUCGUGGCCUUGGAGUUGAAGUCCUCCCAGAUGGGGUAGGAGCUCUGCCGAGAAGAGAGAGGAAGUGAGACUCCACGAAGGCUGCAGGGCUCUACCUGGGCUGAGUACCCACAGGCUGCUUCCAAACAUACUCUGGGCAGUUUGUGAGACAGCAGCCCUGCCCCCGCAGGGAGGGAGGCUCCUGGGCCCUCUGGGGAGACAGAGGACCCAGGAUAGAGCCAUGGGCGUGAGGAAGGCCUGGCCCUGGGGACAGGCACGUUUGCAUAGUGCUCCCUGCCAGGAACUCUGGCCUCUCUGCAGUGGCGGCCCACAUCCUCCCUCAAAGGGGAAUGGACAGUCAAUGGCAGGUCCUGUCUCAGGGAUCUGAGUGGACUGACAGGAGAUGUGGGCUGAGCUACAUGAGGGCCCAUGAUCCCAGACACAGCCCAGGAGGGUCCGCAUGGCAUGGGGGCAGAGGCACACUGUGCAGCGGUGGGGCUCCAGGCUUACGAGGUCUCAACUGAGGCCCCCCGCCCCGUGCCCCAGAAGCUACUGCCGGCCUGGCCAUCUAUCCAUCCCAGGCCAACAGCAGCAGGAGCUCCCAGGCCCAAGGAGGCUGGGACUGCUGCAGGGCCUGGCCAGCCUGCCCGGGACAGUCAGGCCUGAGGCUGAAUGGGGCCUUGUGCAGCCAACAGAGCCACCUUUCUCCACCCCCCCAGUCCCCCUCCCCUCCUGGGGACACAGUGUGGCCUUUAUCCCAGCCUGGCCCAAAGCUCUGAAUUGGGAGGGGGGUUUCCCAGUAGGGAGGCCAGGCUCCUGGCCACCAAGCUGUCCAGCGUGAUCCAGGGGCUUUUCUGGCUGAUGCGCCCUCUUGUGGCUGCUGGGUUCUGGCCCCAGGGCCCUGCAGAAGCCUUGAUCCUUGAAGGGGAGCCCCGGGCCAGCCAAGCUCCCAGCCCCAAGGUGCUUCUGACAUUCCCUUCCCUGUGGGAUGGGCUGGACGCUGAGGCUGUUUCAGUGGAAAGGAGGAAGACAGAGACCCCAGUCGCCAAGGCCUCAGAGGGAGGUUCUGUCAGGCUGGAACCCUGGGGACAGGGCCGGCCUGCAGGAGCGGGAAGGACAGCGCAGCUUCUGGGAGCCUCAGAAACUCCCUCCGCUCUCAGCCCAGCCCCACCAGUGCCCAGGGAAAGCAAAUAUUUGAGAAGUUCACAAAGGCUGGAGGGGAGGGGAGAGGGUGCGGGUGAGAUGUCUCCGCGGGGCACAGCGCAGGUGUUCCAAGGACCUGGCACCCCCUGGGGGCCUUCUGAAAGGUGGCACCUUUCCUCUACCUCAACACCCUCAGCCCUAAGACCUCCAGGGAGGAAAAACAAUGCUGUGGACACAGGGGUCCAAAGGCAGCUAUCCUGGCUGGGGUUAGGGGAUUGGAUUGUGAUGAUCACUGUACAACUACAAAUGUAAUAAAUUCACUGAGUAAUAAGACAAAAUAAACAAACAAAAGACAAAGGCAGCUGUCCUGGCCCCCAGGAGCCUCGGGCCAGUCUCAGAGGGCAAGGGACUGGGAGAAGCGAGGGAGACAGGUCCCUACUCCCAUUCAGGUCCCGGAGCUGGGGCCCCCACAGCUUCUGCCCGGCCAGGCUCACCCCAUCCCAGACCCGCACAGCCUCGGCUCUCACAGUGGACAGGGGACAGGAGGGACAUGGAGGAGGCCAGAUCCAGUCCCUCCUGAGCAGAUGGACAGGCGCACCCCGGUUUCUAAGGACCGAGCCCUCCACCCCCUCCACUUAGAAGGACCCCAGAGGCAAGGCGGCUGAGGGGCUGGAGCAGCCUAUGCCCCGGGAGAGUGUCCUCCGCCGUCCCUGGGCCUGUGCCCUCACCCAGGCUGCCCCCUGGCCAGCAGGGCAUCUGGGUCACCGCCACUCGUAACAGGGGUGGCUGCUGCUGACCAAGAGCUUGCGGGGGCCCAGGCACCGGGCCGCUAUGCGACGGCGGGGAAUCUUGACAACAGCCCGACGAGAUGAAUACUGUUAUGACCCCCCUUCUACUGGACACUAAAGGCCAAAGAGAUGAACCGGCUGGCCCAAGGCCACCGAGGAUGAAGGUCACCAGUCAUUACACAUCAGGGUGGAGGGACCCCCAGCUUCGGGGCUGUGGGGAGAAGAGUAUCUGGUGGGCAAGGAUGGAGAGGGGGCAGGGGCCGCGGGGGUGGGAGAGACGCCCAGCUCUGCCCGCCGAGCUGCUCCAAAGGCGAGAGGUUAUGUGCUUAUUAGAGCUGCUCGAGUCGAUGGGAUGAGGCUGACAAGGAGGCUGCAGGGCCCCUGGUCCCCGGAUGCUUCUCUGACUGGGCCCUGGUCCUGGUUUAGAUGUGGGCGGUGCAGGGGAUCGACUCAGGCUUCUGCCCGAGUGAGGGCUUCCCGGGCGACCUUGGGCCAGAGCCACCUCUCUCAACCUGAUUCCUCACCUGUAAGGCCAGGAUGGGACGUGUGCCUAUGUCACCGGGUCAGUGUGACGGCAUGGAAAGCACUAGCACAGUGCCCAGCACACGGGAGGUGCGUGGUUAAUGCUGGCGGAUACAGCGGCCGCGUGAACCUGCUCUGCCGGAGCCUCUCCCACCUGGCCAGGGCCUACA